rnacentral:rRNA from 1 species
UACAGAGGGUGCUAGCGUUGUUCGGAAUCAUUGGGCGUAAAGGGCGUGUAGGCGGUUUGUUAAGUCAUGUGUGAAAUCCCUCGGCUCAACCGGGGAACGACGCAUGAAACUGGCAAGCUAGAGUACCAAAGAGGGGGGUGGAAUUCCCGGUGUAGCGGUGAAAUGCGUAGAUAUCGAGAGGAACACCUGCGGCGAAGGCGGGUUGCUGGGCUGACACUGACGCUGAGGCGCGAAAGCCAGGGGAGCGAACGGG